AUGGGGUUUUGCCAUGUUGCCCAGGGUGGUCUCAAACUCCUGGGCUCAAGCAAAUCCACCUGCCUCAGCCUCCCAAAGUGCUGGGAUUACAGGCAUGAGCCACCACUCCCUGUCAGGAAACAUUUUUAUUUUGUGCAUUUUAAAUUUGAUUUUUAGCUUAAGUUUGAUCAAUAAACUAACCACCUCACUAUCCCUCGCAAGACCAAGACCUCUUUCUUUAGUUUCAGAAUACCUUGAAUUUUGGUGCACAUUUUUGCUAUUUUCAGAAAAUACAUCGAAGUAGCCUUAUAUCAAAGGUAGCCUUAUAUAUGGAGAGCCUUAUGCAAAGAUAUUAGAGUAUUUAAUUUCUAGUUAUUUUUUCUAGAAUUGAGAAUCUCGGGUAUUUCUGAGCAUAUAAGAACUUUGAGAAGAGUUCUCUAGUUAUGGGUAAAAUAUAUUAAGUACAUUGAGAAUGUCUUUACAUUUUCUGACAUUUGUACUUACAUUGAGUAAAGUUAUACCUCACUUUCUUGGUUGAUACUGUCAUUUGAUAAAAUUCAUCAGUGGAUAAAUUGCUAUGUAUGUGUGUGAUAAAGAUACUUGCCUUAAAAUAGAACACUUCUGUCUUGCAAACAGUUUAUGGUCAAAUUGCCUUUUCAGUUACUGUUCUUUCCAUGCACCUAGUGAAUUUAAGUCUGAUAAAGUCCCUGGAUGUAAGAAAGAAGAUGAAAUGUCUUUUCAUUGUUAAUUAUCUGCACCUGGAUUAAAAAGUAUUUUCAACAUGUGAAGACUUUAUGGAAAAAAAUAAUAUGUGUGUGUUGUUUGACUUUUACUGCUAAAGACAGCAAGUGAUUGAACAGAUAAAAUUAUGUAUUGGUUUUAACCAUUAUUUUUAUUGACCCUAUCCUCAAUGAGAGUAUUCAAUUGUGUGUGUGGUCAGUUGUACUAUUUUCACUGUAUAUACAUAACUACUGUUAACUGUCAUCCUUAAUGGCCAUUGUAUAUGUCAUGGAAGGAUCAGAUGUACUGUAUCAACCAAUGGGGAAGAUAAUGUGGAUAGAAAAGAUUGUAUUAUCAUUUGGGAUUUAAGGUAAUAAUUAUGUUGUUUGGUAGGCGUUUUAGGAAUGAUGGUUUAAAUGGACAUAGCUUUUAUUUUCUAAUAAAAAUAUUUCAAAUCAGCUCAAUUUGUGUGACAUUUUCUAUUUUAAUAUGGGAUUAUUAAAGUAUGCAGUCAUUUGGGUCAUAACUUUCCUCAUUCAG
rnacentral:lncRNA from 1 species